UACGUAGGGUGCAAGCCGUUGUCCGGAAUUAUUGGGCGUAAAGAGCUCGUAGGCGGUUGUCGCGCUCUGUCUGUGAAAACUCGGGGCUUAACCGCUCGGCGUACAGGUGGUACGGGCAGACUAGAGUGCGGUAGGGAGACUGGAAUUCCUGGUGUAGACGGUGAAAUGCGCAGAUAUCAGGAGGAACACCGGUGGCGAAGCGGGUCUCUGGGCCGUAACUGACGCUGAGGAGCGAAAGCAUGGGAGCGAACAGG
rnacentral:rRNA from 1 species